rnacentral:rRNA from 1 species
UCGAAACCUGCGAUAGCAGAAUGACCCGUUAACACGUAGAAAAACAUUGGGGGAUCAUCGGGCGGCCCCAGGGCCCUUGUUUGCAAACCCAAGGUAGGUGGGCCCCACACGGGUGUUCACUGGCCAACGAAACCAACCGGGCGCUGACCGCGCCAAGGACAACUAAUACAGAAUUGCACGUCCGCUUCUCGUUCGCGGGCAGCGGCGUCAGUCUGAAACAC